GUGGGAGUAGCUCAGUUGGCAGAGCAUUAGAUUGUGGUUCUAAGGGUCGCGGGUUCAAAUCCCGUCUCUCACCC
rnacentral:tRNA from 1 species